UCAUAAUAUACGUAGACGCUGCGCCGCGUAUACAUCUGCAGAGACGAGCUGACAAAAAGAUGCCGAACUUCUGUGCGGCUUAUGGAUGUUCAAACGAGUGGGGCACCCACAGCAGAUCCCGUGGAAUCACCUUUCACAGGUUUCCUAAAGACAGUGUUCGUAAGAGAGAGUGGGAACGGGCGCUGAAACGGAAAGAUUUUGAGGCGACUCAGUAUUCCAGGAUCUGCAGCGAGCACUUCAGGGCGGAGGACUUUGACAGGACAGGACAGACUGUCCGGCUCCGAGAUGGAGUCAAACCCUCCAUCUUUAACUUCCCCCCUCAUCUCCGAAAGGCUUGCAUGAAACAAGAAAAGAGCCAGCCGGUGGCCCCGCCUCCGCCAGUGGCCCCUCCCCCGCCGGUGGCCCCGCCUCCGCCUGUCAGUGAACCCGUCCCUCAACCUGACGUUAAACCGAAGACGGGAGCGGAGGAUGAGAUUAAGAAUGAGCACAACUAUGCUUUGCCUGCGUCUCCGGCUGCUCUGAAGGCCAGACUGCUGGAAGCUCUGGCUCGAGUGGAGAGUCUGGAGCGCAAGGAGAGGAACAGCAUGAUCCGGGAGCGGAGGGCAAAGAAGCAUCUGCAGGCUCUGCUUCGGGGUCUGAGAAUGAAUAACCUCAUAAGUGAUGGCAGACUUGACUUAACUGCAGGGCCUCCGGUCAAGGUGAAGCCGAGGAGGAGGAGGAGGAGGAGGACCGUGCUUCUGGACAGCAGCGCCACCCGGCCGUGAAGCAGUGCAGGAUGUUUGGACCAGGAGAACGAGGCGGGUUUGACACAGAGGUUUGUGACGCCACACUGACUGGAGCACAUCAGGGAACGGUUCACCUCCACCCAGCGCCGGUCGGAGCCGGGCUACACCCUGGAGACGUGUCGUGAGAAGUUCCCAGAUGAGCACUGGAAGCAGCGGCGAGGGCCAACGCCGAGCUGGACGAGGGGAAGAAGAACGCCGGCUGGAGCAGGUUUUCACUGAAAACUGCCUUCAGCACUCGCUUCACUGAGACUGAAUCCUCUUCAGAUCCUCGUCAGAGCGAAGAGGAUCGAGACGCAGAGACGCAAGAAGGUCUCUGUGUCCGAGCCGGGCUCUCCACUGAGGAGAAACUGGUCUGGAGCUUCAGCGGGGAGCUCACGGAGAAGUUGGCCUCUCAGACGGACACUCUGUUUAUGGAUCAACUAUGACGGAUAAUUUCUAAAUGUUCAAAAGGCACUUCCUGUGAGAAUGGUUUCAUUUGUUGAAUAACGGUUUGAAUGACCUGUUUUUAAGUCAUUUUAAGUUAUUUGAUGCAAUAAUGAAGUUAGAAUGAACCAUUUUAGAAUGGAGAGCUCAAUAAGUUCAAAGGUUUUUUAUUAAUUUCUCGUUUGCUCAUGAUGGAAUGAAAACUUUACUCUGGUCUCAACACAAUAAAGGCGCAACUGAAGAUCAGAAUAUCUCUAAAAUAUGGAUACAAGCUUUAGUUUAACCUUCACAAGAAGAUCAGUGAAGUUUAACAGCACACAAGAUGGCAGCAGCGCAGCAUAAAGUGAUGUUCAAGUAAUAAAUCAUGUUUUUUUUUAAUAUAUUUAAGGAUUUAAAAGAAACAAUGGAAGUUCAGUUUUUCCAUUGUUGUGCCACACUAGUAGCACAAUAAUAAGAAUGUUAAUUUAUAUUUGAAUAAAGUGUUAUGUUUUAACUUGUGACGGGGUUUUUAAAUGCACUAUAUUUAACACUCAGACUACUGACUGGAAUAACAGGAUGAUGAAGAUCUCCACCUGAGAAAUGUACCUCCUGCUGCUGCUGCUGUCAGGGAUGAAACGACUCUACUUCGUUGUUCAGAGUUAGCAAAGAGAAGAAAGCUGUGGAGUCCAGCGAAAAUGAGGAAAUGAGAGAAUGUGUGGAUGAAGGCGAAGCAGGAGGUUUAAGAAGAGGCUCAGUGGCAGCAGGACCAUCACAGGCUCUGUUCAGAUCAGUCACUGGAUCCUCCAGCUGGACCUGACUGCAGAACCUCGAGACCUGCUGCUCCAGUCCCAGAGCCAACAGCCGCAGGGUGGAGCCGGGUUUGUUUGUGCUAAAGUCAAAAAUCCCCAAAUAAAAUGAAUCAGCUCCAACAGUUAAAAUUUAUAAAUGUGCUUUUCCUUUCUUCUGAGGUUUAGUCUGAGGUGUAGUUUCGCUGUAUGUCCACCAGGUGUCAGUGUUGCUUUUGUUCUUAAUGGUGACCUUUUUCUGUUGGUUUCAAUUAUGGGGGUUUUUGGGAGGAGGAAGCCCUGGGAAAACAUGCAGACUCCACACAAAAAGCCACGUUGUGUUGUUGCAACAUGGUCAAUAGUUUGAAACUAAAGUUUAUCUUUCUCUUUUAUAAUCAAUACCCUUCAAAAGGAAAUAUGCAGCUUCAGACUGAGGAGGAUACGAUGUCUGAUGGAAGACCCUCACUUCUCAGCACUCUUAGAUCUUCUCUCCUUGAUUUUUUUUUUAAUUUUUAUGAAUGUUUUAUUUCUUCUCCUA